AAGACUUAUGGAUAGGUGCAAAACAUAAAUCCUCUUUUGCAACACAGAACUAAUAGUUCAGUAUGAAUUUUGAUACAUAUAAGAAGGGAUAUU
ensembl:snoRNA